GACGAACGCUGGCGGCGUGCUUAACACAUGCAAGUCGAACGAUGAAAGAGGAGCUUGCUCCUCUGGAUUAGUGGCGAACGGGUGAGUAACACGUGAGCAAUCUGCCCUUGACUCUGGGAUAAGCGCUGGAAACGGCGUCUAAUACUGGAUACGAGCUUCGGUGGCAUCACCAGAAGCUGGAAAGAAUUUCGGUCAAGGAUGAGCUCGCGGCCUAUCAGUUAGUUGGUGAGGUAACGGCUCACCAAGACGACGACGGGUAGCCGGCCUGAGAGGGUGACCGGCCACACUGGGACUGAGACACGGCCCAGACUCCUACGGGAGGCAGCAGUGGGGAAUAUUGCACAAUGGGCGCAAGCCUGAUGCAGCAACGCCGCGUGAAGGACGAAGGCCUUCGGGUUGUAAACCGCUUUCACCCAUGACGAAGUGAAAAUGACGGUAGUGGGAGAAGAAGCACCGGCCAACUACGUGCCAGCAGCCGCAGUAACAC
rnacentral:rRNA from 1 species